rnacentral:rRNA from 1 species
CCUACGGGAGGCAGCAGUGAGGAAUAUUGGUCAAUGGGCGUAAGCCUGAACCAGCCAAGUCGCGUGAGGGAUGAAGGUUCUAUGGAUCGUAAACCUCUUUUAUAAGGGAAUAACGUGUGGGACGUGCCCUAUUUUGUAUGUACCUUAUGAAAAAGGAUCGGCUAACUCCGUGCCAGCAGCCGCGGUAAUACGGAGGAUCCGCGCGUUAUCCGGAUUUAUUGGGUUUAAAGGGUGCGUAGGCGGCCUAUUAAGUCAGCGGUGAAAGUCUGUGGCUCAACCAUAGAAUUGCCGUUGAAACUGGGGGGCUUGAGUAUGUUUGAGGCAGGCGGAAUGCGUGGUGUAGCGGUGAAAUGCUUAGAUAUCACGCAGAACCCCGAUGGCGAAGGCAGCCUGCCAAGCCAUGACUGACGCUGAUGCACGAAAGCGUGGGGAUCAAACAGGAUUAGAUACCCCAGUAGUC